UGGAUCCAGACUUUGAUUAUGGCUCAGGAUGAACGCUAGCUACAGGCUUAACACAUGCAAGUCGAGGGGAAACGACAUCGAAAGCUUGCUUUUGAUGGGCGUCGACCGGCGCACGGGUGAGUAACGCGUAUCCAACCUGCCCACCACUUGGGGAUAACCUUGCGAAAGUAAGACUAAUACCCAAUGAUAUCUCUAGAAGACAUCUGAAAGAGAUUAAAGAUUUAUCGGUGAUGGAUGGGGAUGCGUCUGAUAGCUUGUUGGCGGGGUAACGGCCCACCAAGGCAACGAUCAGUAGGGGUUCUGAGAGGAAGGUCCCCCACAUUGGAACUGAGACACGGUCCAAACUCCUACGGGAGGCAGCAGUGAGGAAUAUUGGUCAAUGGACGAGAGUCUGAACCAGCCAAGUAGCGUGCAGGAUGACGGCCCUAUGGGUUGUAAACUGCUUUUAUAAGGGAAUAAAGUGAGUCUCGUGAGACUUUUUGCAUGUACCUUAUGAAUAAGGACCGGCUAAUUCCGUGCCAGCAGCCGCGGUAAUACGGAAGGUCCGGGCGUUAUCCGGAUUUAUUGGGUUUAAAGGGAGCGUAGGCCGGAGAUUAAGCGUGUUGUGAAAUGUAGACGCUCAACGUCUGCACUGCAGCGCGAACUGGUUUCCUUGAGUACGCACAAAGUGGGCGGAAUUCGUGGUGUAGCGGUGAAAUGCUUAGAUAUCACGAAGAACUCCGAUUGCGAAGGCAGCUCACUGGAGCGCAACUGACGCUGAAGCUCGAAAGUGCGGGUAUCGAACAGGAUUAGAUACCCUGGUAGUCCGCACGGUAAACGAUGGAUGCCCGCUGUUGGUCUGAAUAGGUCAGCGGCCAAGCGAAAGCAUUAAGCAUCCCACCUGGGGAGUACGCCGGCAACGGUGCAACUCAAAGGAAUUGACGGA
rnacentral:rRNA from 1 species